rnacentral:rRNA from 1 species
AGAGUUUGAUCCUGGCUCAGAUUGAACGCUGGCGGCAUGCCUUACACAUGCAAGUCGAACGGUAACGCGGGGCAACCUGGCGACGAGUGGCGAACGGGUGAGUAAUGCAUCGGAACGUGCCCAGUAGUGGGGGAUAGCCCGGCGAAAGCCGGAUUAAUACCGCAUACGACCUACGGGUGAAAGGGGGGGAUCGCAAGACCUCUCGCUAUUGGAGCGGCCGAUGUCAGAUUAGGUAGUUGGUGGGGUAAAGGCCUACCAAGCCGACGAUCUGUAGCUGGUCUGAGAGGACGACCAGCCACACUGGGACUGAGACACGGCCCAGACUCCUACGGGAGGCAGCAGUGGGGAAUUUUGGACAAUGGGCGCAAGCCUGAUCCAGCCAUGCCGCGUGCGGGAAGAAGGCCUUCGGGUUGUAAACCGCUUUUGUCAGGGAAGAAAUCCUUUGGGCUAAUACCCCGGGGGGAUGACGGUACCUGAAGAAUAAGCACCGGCUAACUACGUGCCAGCAGCCGCGGUAAUACGUAGGGUGCAAGCGUUAAUCGGAAUUACUGGGCGUAAAGCGUGCGCA